rnacentral:rRNA from 1 species
AACGAAUGCUGGCGGCGUGGAUUAGGCAUGCAAGUCGAACGGAUUCGGGUAGCAAUACUCGAAUGAGUGGCGAAAGGGUGAGUAACACGUGAGUAAUCUGCCUUUAGGAUUGGGAUAACUCGCGAAAGCGAAGCUAAUACCGAGUGUGGCCACGAUUUCUUCGGAAAAUGUGGUGAAAGGAUGGCCUCUAUUUAUAAGCUAUCGCCUUUAGAUGAGCUCGCGGUAAUUAGCUAGUUGGUAGGGUAAUGGCCUACCAAGGCUAUGAUGUAUAGCUGGCCUGAGAGGGUGGUCAGCCACACUGGGACUGAGACACUGCCCAGACACCUACGGGUGGCUGCAGUCGAGGAUCUUUCGCAAA